GAUGAACGCUGGCGGCGUGCCUAAUACAUGCAAGUCGAGCGAACAGACGAGGAGCUUGCUCCUCUGACGUUAGCGGCGGACGGGUAAGUAACACGUGGAUAACCUACCUAUAAGACUGGGAUAACUUCGGGAAACCGGAGCUAAUACCGGAUAAUAUAUUGAACCGCAUGGUUCAAUAGUGAAAGACGGUUUUGCUGUCACUUAUAGAUGGAUCCGCGCCGCAUUAGCUAGUUGGUAAGGUAACGGCUUACCAAGGCGACGAUGCGUCGCCGACCUGAGAGGGUGAUCGGCCACACUGGAACUGAGACACGGUCCAGACUCCUACGGGAGGCAGCAGUAGGGAAUCUUCCGCAAUGGGCGAAAGCCUGACGGAGCAACGCCGCGUGAGUGAUGAAGGUCUUCGGAUCGUAAAACUCUGUUAUUAGGGAAGAACAAAUGUGUAAGUAACUAUGCACGUCUUGACGGUACCUAAUCAGAAAGCCACGGCUAACUACGUG
rnacentral:rRNA from 1 species